ACAAGCGGUGGAGCAUGUGGUUUAAUUCGAAGCUACGCGAAGAACCUUACCAGGUCUUGACAUACUAUGCAAAUCUAAGAGAUUAGACGUUCCCUUCGGGGACAUGGAUACAGGUGGUGCAUGGUUGUCGUCAGCUCGUGUCGUGAGAUGUUGGGUUAAGUCCCGCAACGAGCGCAACCCUUAUUAUCAGUUGCCAGCAUUAAGUUGGGCACUCUGGUGAGACUGCCGGUGACAAACCGGAGGAAGGUGGGGAUGACGUCAAAUCAUCAUGCCCCUUAUGACCUGGGCUACACACGUGCUACAAUGGAUGGUACAACGAGUUGCGAACUCGCGAGAGUAAGCUAAUCUCUUAAAGCCAUUCUCAGUUCGGAUUGUAGGCUGCAACUCGCCUACAUGAAGUCGGAAUCGCUAGUAAUCGCGGAUCAGCAUGCCGCGGUGAAUACGUUCCCGGGCCUUGU
rnacentral:rRNA from 1 species